rnacentral:misc_RNA from 1 species
CGUCAAGAUCGCCUUGAUGGACGGCACGGCGAUACUGUUCGUUCCGGCGCCGCAAACCGCCUAUGACGACAGCCGGCCUGUCGAGCGAGUCUUCAUCCAGUCGCCGCCGCAAGCUGUUGAAGAGCAGGUUGUCGAAGCGCGCCUUGCGAAGGAAAUCGGUUUCGAUCCGGAUGUCUGGAUUGUCGAAGUCGAGGACAGGGAAGGGCGUCACUUCCUCGAUCUGGCUAAGACUUAACCGCGCGACGUGUUGCGGGUUGCGACGU